UACGGGGGGGCAAGCGUUGUUCGGAAUUACUGGGCGUAAAGGGCUCGUAGGCGGCCAACUAAGUCAGACGUGAAAUCCCUCGGCUUAACCGGGGAACUGCGUCUGAUACUGGAUGGCUUGAGAUUGGGAGAGGGAUGCGGAAUUCCAGGUGUAGCGGUGAAAAUGCGUAGAUAUCUGGAGGAACACCGGUGGCGAAGGCGGCAUCCUGGACCAACAC
rnacentral:rRNA from 1 species